rnacentral:rRNA from 1 species
UACGGAAGGCAGCAGUGGGGAAUAUUGCACAAUGGGCGCAAGCCUGAUGCAGCCAUGCCGCGUGUAUGAAGAAGGCCUUCGGGUUGUAAAGUACUUUCAGUCGUGAGGAAGGUGUUAAGGUUAAUAACCUUAGCAAUUGACGUUAGCGACAGAAGAAGCACCGGCUAACUCCGUGCCAGCAGCCGCGGUAAUAACGGAGGGUGCGAGCGUUAAAUCGGAAUUAACUGGGCGUAAAAGGGCACGCAGGCGGUUAAAUUAAGUUGGAUGUGAAAAUCCCCGGGCUUAAACCUGGGAAUGGCAUUCAAAGAACUGGUUUAAGCUAGAGUCUUGUAAGAGGGGGUAGAAAUUCCGAUGUGUAGCGGUGAAAAUGCUAAGGAGAAUGUGGAAGGAAAUAACCGGUGGGCGAAAGGCGGCCCCUGGGACAAAAAGAACUGAACGCGUCAUGUGCGAAAAAGCGUGGGGAAGCAAAACAAGGGAAUU